UCAGCCGCCGCGGUAAAACCAGCACCUCGAGUGGUCAGGAGGUUUAUUGGGCCUAAAGCAUCCGUAGCCGGUUGCAUAAGUUUUCGGUUAAAUCUAUGCGCUUAACGUAUAGGCCGCCGAAAAUACUGUGCAGCUAGGGAGUGGGAGAGGUACACGGUACUCGAUAGGAAGGGGUAAAAUCCUUUGAUCUAUUGAUGACCACCUGUGGCGAAGGCGGUGUACCAGAACACGUUCGACGGUGAGGGAUGAAAGCUGGGGGAGCAAACCGGAUUAGAUACCCGGGUAGUCCCAGCUGUAAACGAUGCAGACUCGGUGAUGCAUUGGCUUGUGGCCAAUGCAGUGCCGCAGGGAAGCCGUUAAGUCUGCCGCCUGGGAAGUACGUACGCGAGUAUGAAACUUAAAGGAAUUGGCGGGGGAGCACA
rnacentral:rRNA from 1 species